rnacentral:rRNA from 1 species
ACGUAGGGGGCAAGCGUUAUCCGGAAUUACUGGGCGUAAAGCGUGCGCAGGCGGUUUCGUAAGACAGAUGUGAAAUCCCCGGGCUUAACCUGGGAACUGCGUUUGUGACUGCGAGACUUGAGUGCGGCAGAGGGGGGUGGAAUUCCACGUGUAGCAGUGAAAUGCGUAGAGAUGUGGAGGAACACCGAUGGCGAAGGCAGCCCCCUGGGUCGACACUGACGCUCAUGCACGAAAGCGUGGGGAGCAAACAGG